rnacentral:misc_RNA from 1 species
GUAAUGCGAUAAGUAGUGUGAAUUGCAGAAUUCAGUGAAUCAUCGAAUCUUUGAACGCACAUUGCGCCCCUUGGUAUUCCAUGGGGCAUGCCUGUUCGAGCGUCAUUUGUACCCUCAAGCUCUGCUUGGUGUUGGGUGUUUGUCCCGUCUCCGCGCGUGGACUCGCCCCAAAGUGAUUGGCAGCCGGCGUACUGGUCCCGGAGCGCAGCACAUGUCGCGCAAACGAGUGCCUUGGUACGGCGGCGUCCAUAAGCCCCUCUCUCACGCUCUUGACCUCGGAUCAGGUAGGGAUACCCGCUGAACUUAAGC